GGGACACGUGGUAUCCUGUCUGAAUAUGGGGGGACCAUCCUCCAAGGCUAAAUACUCCUGACUGACCGAUAGUGAACCAGUACCGUGAGGGAAAGGCGAAAAGAACCCCGGCGAGGGGAGUGAAAAAGAACCUGAAACCGUGUACGUACAAGCAGUGGGAGCACCCUUUUGGGUGUGACUGCGUACCUUUUGUAUAAUGGGUCAGCGACUUAUAUUCUGUAGCAAGGUUAACCGAAUAGGGGAGCCGGAGGGAAACCGAGUCUUAAUUGGGCGUUAAGUUGCAGGGUAUAGACCCGAAACCCGGUGAUCUAGCCAUGGGCAGGUUGAAGGUUGGGUAACACUAACUGGAGGACCGAACCGACUAAUGUUGAAAAAUUAGCGGAUGACCUGUGGCUGGGGGUGAAAGGCCAAUCAAACCGGGAGAUAGCUGGUUCUCCCCGAAAGCUAUUUAGGUAGCGCCUCGUGAACUCAUCUCCGGGGGUAGAGCACUGUUUCGGCUAGGGGGCCAUCCCGGCUUACCAACCCGAUGCAAACUGCGAAUACCGGAGAAUGUUAUCACGGGAGACACACGGCGGGUGCUAACGUCCGUCGUGAAGAGGGAAACAACCCAGACCGCCAGCUAAGGUCCCAAAGUCAUGGUUAAGUGGGAAACGAUGUGGGAAGGCCCAGACAGCCAGGAUGUUGGCUUAGAAGCAGCCAUCAUUUAAAGAAAGCGUAAUAGCUCACUGGUCGAGUCGGCCUGCGCGGAAGAUGUAACGGGGCUAAACCAUGCACCGAAGCUGCGGCAGCGACGCUCAGGCGU
rnacentral:rRNA from 1 species